rnacentral:tRNA from 1 species
GCCUUCGUUGUAAUGGUCAGCACACUGAGCCGGUAUUUCAGAGGUCCGUGGUUCGAUUCCCGGCGAAGGCC